rnacentral:rRNA from 1 species
GACGAACGCUGGCGGCGUGCUUAACACAUGCAAGUCGAACGGAAAGGCCCUGCUUUUGUGGGGUGCUCGAGUGGCGAACGGGUGAGUAACACGUGAGUAACCUGCCCUUGACUUUGGGAUAACUUCAGGAAACUGGGGCUAAUACCGGAUAGGAGCUCCUGCUGCAUGGUGGGGGUUGGAAAGUUUCGGCGGUUGGGGAUGGACUCGCGGCUUAUCAGCUUGUUGGUGGGGUAGUGGCUUACCAAGGCUUUGACGGGUAGCCGGCCUGAGAGGGUGACCGGCCACAUUGGGACUGAGAUACGGCCCAGACUCCUACGGGAGGCAGCAGUGGGGAAUAGUGCGCAAUGGGCGGAAGCCUGAUGGAGCAACGCCGCGUGCGGGAUGACGGCCUUCGGGUUGUAAACCGCUUUCGCCUGUGACGAAGCGUGAGUGACGGUAAUGGGUAAAGAAGCACCGGCUAACUACGUG